UACGGAGGGGGCUAGCGUUGUUCGGAAUUACUGGGCGUAAAGCGCGCGUAGGCGGCUUUGUAAGUUAGAGGUGAAAGCCCGGAGCUCAACUCCGGAACUGCCUUUAAAACUGCAUCGCUAGAAUUGUGGAGAGGUAAGUGGAAUUCCGAGUGUAGAGGUGAAAUUCGUAGAUAUUCGGAAGAACACCAGUGGCGAAGGCGACUUACUGGACACAUAUUGACGCUGAGGUGCGAAAGCGUGGGGAGCAAACAGG
rnacentral:rRNA from 1 species